rnacentral:rRNA from 1 species
ACGCACGCUGGCGGCGUGCUUAACCCCUGCCAGUCGAACGGAAAGGCCCUGCUUUUGUGGGGUGCUCGAGUGGCGAACGGGUGAGUAACACGUGAGUAACCUGCCCUUGACUUUGGGAUAACUUCAGGAAACUGGGGCUAAUACCGGAUAGGAGCUCCUGCUGCAUGGUGGGGGUUGGAAAGUUUCGGCGGUUGGGGAUGGACUCGCGGCUUAUCAGCUUGUUGGUGGGGUAGUGGCUUACCAAGGCUUUGACGGGUAGCCGGCCUGAGAGGGUGACCGGCCACAUUGGGACUGAGAUACGGCCCAGACUCCUACGGGAGGCAGCAGUGGGGAAUAUUGCACAAUGGGCGGAAGCCUGAUGCAGCAACGCCGCGUGCGGGAUGAAGGCCUUCGGGUUGUAAACCGCUUUCGCCUGUGACGAAGCGUGAGUGACGGUAAUGGGUAAAGAAGCACCGGCUAACUACGUG